GAUGAACGCGUGGCGGCGUGCUUAACACAUGCAAGUCGAACGGAACUUACCUGGAACAAGUUUUCGGACAAGGGAAGGGUAAGUUUAGUGGCGAACGGGUGAGUAACGCGUGAGUAACCUGCCUUGGAGAGGGGAAUAACAGCUGGAAACGGCUGCUAAUACCGCAUGACGCAACAAGAUCGCAUGAUAUUGUUGCCAAAGAUUUAUCGCUCUGAGAUGGACUCGCGUCUGAUUAGCUAGUUGGCGGGGUAACGGCCCACCAAGGCGACGAUCAGUAGCCGGACUGAGAGGUUGACCGGCCACAUUGGGACUGAGACACGGCCCAG
rnacentral:rRNA from 1 species